AUUGAACGCUAGCGGGAUGCCUUACACAUGCAAGUCGAACGGAGUGGCGAACGGGUGAGUAAUGUAACGGAACGUGCCCCGUAGCGGGGGAUAACUACGCGAAAGCGUAGCUAAUACCGCAUACUAUUGGAGCCGCCGAUGUCGGAUUUGCAAGUUGGUGGGGUAAAGGCGACCCAAGGCGACGAUCCGUAUCUGGUUUGAGAGGACGACCAGCCAAAAUGGAACUGAGACACGGCCCAGAAUCCUACGGGAGGCAGCAGUGGGGAAUUUUGGACAAUGGGGGAAACCCUGAUCCAGCCAUCCCGCGUGUACGAUGAAGGCCUUCGGGUUGUAAAGCACUUUUGGCAGGAAAGCGGUACCUGCAGAAUAAGCACCGGCUAACUACGUGCCAGCAGCCGCGGUAAUUC
rnacentral:rRNA from 1 species